GUCGGUAUCGAUUAGGGGUUAAAUCACUUCGUUGUGGUGGACUAUUCCGAAGAGCCGCUGGUUCGAUUCCAGCUACCGACA
rnacentral:tRNA from 1 species